CCGAACUGAGACCGGCUUUUUGGGAUUCGCUCCACCUUACGGUAUCGCAGCCCUCUGUACCGGCCAUUGUAGCAUGCGUGAAGCCCAAGACAUAAGGGGCAUGAUGAUUUGACGUCAUCCCCACCUUCCUCCGAGUUGACCCCGGCAGUCUCCCAUGAGUCCCCGGCAUAACCCGCUGGCAACAUAGGACGAGGGUUGCGCUCGUUGCGGGACUUAACCCAACAUCUCACGACACGAGCUGACGACAACCAUGCACCACCUGUGUACGAGUGUCCAAAGAGAACCCCGUCUCGGGGGCUUUCUCGUACAUGUCAAGCCUUGGUAAGGUUCUUCGCGUUGCAUCGAAUUAAUCCGCAUGCUCCGCCGCUUGUGCGGGCCCCCGUCAAUUCCUUUGAGUUUUAGCCUUGCGGCCGUACUCCCCAGGCGGGGCACUUAAUGCGUUAGCUGCGGCACGGAACUCGUGGAAUGAGCCCCACACCUAGUGCCCAACGUUUACGGCAUGGACUACCAGGGUAUCUAAUCCUGUUCGCUCCCCAUGCUUUCGCUCCUCAGCGUCAGUUGCGGCCCAGAGACCUGCCUUCGCCAUCGGUGUUCCUCCUGAUAUCUGCGCAUUCCACCGCUACACCAGGAAUUCCAGUCUCCCCUACCGCACUCUAGUCUGCCCGUACCCGAUGCAAGCCCGAGGUUGAGCCUCGGGAUUUCACACCAGACGCGACAGACCGCCUACGAGCUCUUUACGCCCAAUAAUUCCGGACAACGCUUGCGCCCUACGUAUUACCGCGGCUGCUGGCACGUAGUUAGCCGGCGCUUCUUCUGCAGGUACCGUCACUUGCGCUUCUUCCCUGCUGAAAGAGGUUUACAACCCGAAGGCCGUCAUCCCUCACGCGGCGUCGCUGCAUCAGGCUUGCGCCCAUUGUGCAAUAUUCCCCACUGCUGCCUCCCGUAGGAGUCUGGGCCGUGUCUCAGUCCCAGUGUGGCCGGUCGCCCUCUCAGGCCGGCUACCCGUCGACGCCUUGGUAGGCCAUCACCCCACCAACAAGCUGAUAGGCCGCGAGCCCAUCCCCCACCGAAAAACUUUCCAACCCACACCAUGCGAUGCGAGCUCAUAUCCGGUAUUAGACCCCGUUUCCAAGGCUUAUCCCGAAGUGGAGGGCAGGUUGCUCACGUGUUACUCACCCGUUCGCCACUGAUCCGCCCAGCAAGCUGGGCUUCACCGUCGACUGCA
rnacentral:rRNA from 1 species